rnacentral:rRNA from 1 species
ACCUAAUAGAUACCCUGGUAGUCCACGCCCUAAACGAUGCGAACUGGAUGUUGGGUACAUUACGGUACUCAGUGUCGAAAGCUAAACGCGUUAAGUUCGCCGCCUGGGGAGUACGGUCGCAAGACUGAAACUCAAAGGAAUUGACGGGGGCCCGCACAAGCGGUGGAGUAUGUGGUUUAAUUCGAUGCAACGCGAAGAACCUUACCUGGCCUUGACAUCUGUCGAAUCCUGCAGAGAUGCGGGAGUGCCGCAAGGAACGACAAGACAGGUGCUGCAUGGCUGUCGUCAGCUCGUGUCGUGAGAUGUUGGGUUAAGUCCCGCAACGAGCGCAACCCUUGUCCCUAGUUGCCGAGCACAUCAU